rnacentral:lncRNA from 1 species
UUAACUGUCGCCUAUUGGCAAGUGUUUACAUUUUGGCCAGGAUGGUCUUGUGACUUCAAUGGGACAAAGUGAUCAAAUUAAAGGUGAAUUAUAAGGGUUCUCAUCGAUUUUUUCGCAGUCUUUUUGAUGGUAUGUUGCAGGACAUGACAUCAGAUUUUAAAAAGGUGAUGGACCUGACCUACCCCAUCACUUCUACGUUCUCUGGCGCUGACUUCAACUCCAGCAUUUACAGUGUUCAAGGGCAAGCAGAUUGGUGAGGACGAGACACCUUCACAGCACAGCUGGAGUUAGUCUUGGGACUAACUGGCAGAGAAAGUGAAUGUGAGCCUCUCUCACAGUGCUGUACAGAUGUGGCUGCCCUACGUGUGUUGUGUGCAUCAGUGAAGAGCAGUGACUACUGCGAGUACAUCAGACCGCCCACAAACCGCUACCGCACACUGGAGUUUGGCAAGUUCGACAAGAUCCUUUGGAGUGGUGGAGAUCAUGCUGUAGGACCACCACCAGGAGGAGUCUCGUAACACACACAGCAACAACAAUGUGAGGGAGGGAGUAUCAGGGAGGGAGGGAGGGAGUAUCAGGGAGGGAGAGAGUAUCAGGGAGUGAG